UUGCACAUCCUCAAAUAAAGGCAGUCGCCCAGCGCCCGUUCCAUGGACGACGCUCGCAUGCCGCCGACACCUUGCCCUCGCCCUCGCCUGGCGAUCGCCGGGCGCCUCCUGGACAUCGCGCCUCCGUCCCUCCAGCAGGCCUACCUUCCCUCCGGGCUACUCUGGCCGGCCUCGAGGACGCCGCCUCCCUCCGCGCUCCCUGUGGCCUCCUCGAUCCAGCACGCUUGCCUCCCUUCACUGCUCCGGCCGGCGUCGAGGACGUCGCCUCCCUCCGAGUUGCUGCCGGCCUCCACAAGCCGCCAGAGCACCGCCGUCUGACCACCCGGCGAUCGACCGGCCCCCAGUCCCCUGCACCAUCACCUGGUACUCUUCAGGGGGACAUACUGGGCAAGGUUUUGGUCGUGGUUAUCUGAAGAGGAAGCGAUGCAACUAGUGAAGAGCAAUUGUCAGCGUUUGGAAGGAGUGGUAAUGGAACUCUACACCAAGUGGGGAUGGAGCUUUAGUAACAGAAUAGAGUUAUAAUUUAUCAGGCUAAUAUUUUGCAGUCUGAGUUCAGGUUGUGGUUAUGUUUGAGCUUUUGUUUUAGCAGCCUACGUGCUGUUUGUGUGCUAGUUGGUCAGACCAAUAGCAUUCAGUGAUGUUUGGGUGUGAGCUGUUGCUCCGACAGCCUGCGUGCUGUGGUUUCGCUUGUUGGCUGUAGUCAUUCGUUUGUGAAUGAUCAAGGACGGGAUUAUUCAUUAAUCUAAAAAAAGAUGUGGCAACAAAUUUUUUUUUA